CCUUACCUACUCUUGACAUCCAGAGAACUUAGCAGAGAUGCUUUGGUGCCUUCGGGAACUGUGAGACAGGUGCUGCAUGGCUGUCGUCAGCUCGUGUUGUGAAAUGUUGGGUUAAGUCCCGCAACGAGCGCAACCCUUAUCCUUUGUUGCCAGCGGUUCGGCCGGGAACUCAAAGGAGACUGCCAGUGAUAAACUGGAGGAAGGUGGGGAUGACGUCAAGUCAUCAUGGCCCUUACGAGUAGGGCUACACACGUGCUACAAUGGCAUAUACAAAGAGAAGCGACCUCGCGAGAGCAAGCGGACCUCAUAAAGUAUGUCGUAGUCCGGAUUGGAGUCUGCAACUCGACUCCAUGAAGUCGGAAUCGCUAGUAAUCGUGGAUCAGAAUGCCACGGUGAAUACGUUCCCGGGUCUUGUACACACC
rnacentral:rRNA from 1 species